UAGCUAGUUGGUAGGGUAAAGGCCUACCAAGGCGACGAUCGGUAGCUGGUCUGAGAGGAUGGCCAGCCACACUGGAACUGAGACACGGUCCAGACUCCUACGGGAGGCAGCAGUGGGGAAUAUUGGACAAUGGGGGCAACCCUGGUCCAGCAAUGCCGCGUGUGUGAAGAAGGCCUGAGGGUUGUAAAGCACUUUCAGUGGGGAGGAGGGUUGAUUGGUUAAGAGCUGGUUAAUUGGACGUUACCCACAGAAGAAGCACCGGCUAACUCCGUGCCAGCAGCCGCGGUAAUACGGAGGGUGCGAGCGUUAAUCGGAAUUACUGGGCGUAAAGGGUGCGUAGGUGGUUGUAUAAGUUAUCUGUGAAAUUCCUGGGCUUAACCUGGGGUGGUCAGAUAAGACUGUAUGACUCGAGUAUGGGAGAGGGUAGUGGAAUUUCCGGUGUAGCGGUGAAAUGCGUAGAGAUCGGAAGGAACACCAGUGGCGAAGGCGGCUACCUGGCCUAAUACUGACACUGAGGCACGAAAGCGUGGGGAGCAAACAGGAUUAGAUACCCUGGUAGUCCACGCUGUAAACGAUGUCAACUAGCUGUUGGUUAUAUGAAUAUAAUUAGUGGCGC
rnacentral:rRNA from 1 species